GGUUAAGCGACUAAGCGUACACGGUGGAUGCCCUGGCAGUCAGAGGCGAUGAAGGACGUGCUAAUCUGCGAUAAGCGUCGGUGAGGUGAUAUGAACCGUUAUAACCGGCGAUUUCCGAAUGGGGAAACCCAGUGUGUUUCGACACACUAUCAUUAACUGAAUCCAUAGGUUAAUGAGGCGAACCGGGGGAACUGAAACAUCUAAGUACCCCGAGGAAAAGAAAUCAACCGAGAUUCCCCCAGUAGCGGCGAGCGAACGGGGAGGAGCCCAGAGCCUGAAUCAGUGUGUGUGUUAGUGGAAGCGUCUGGAAAGGCGCGCGAUACAGGGUGACAGCCCCGUACACAAAAAUGCACAUAUUGUGAGCUCGAUGAGUAGGGCGGGACACGUGGUAUCCUGUCUGAAUAUGGGGGGACCAUCCUCCAAGGCUAAAUACUCCUGACUGACCGAUAGUGAACCAGUACCGUGAGGGAAAGGCGAAAAGAACCCCGGCGAGGGGAGUGAAAAAGAACCUGAAACCGUGUACGUACAAGCAGUGGGAGCCUCUUAAUGGGGUGACUGCGUACCUUUUGUAUAAUGGGUCAGCGACUUAUAUUCUGUAGCAAGGUUAACCGAAUAGGGGAGCCGAAGGGAAACCGAGUCUUAACUGGGCGUUAAGUUGCAGGGUAUAGACCCGAAACCCGGUGAUCUAGCCAUGGGCAGGUUGAAGGUUGGGUAACACUAACUGGAGGACCGAACCGACUAAUGUUGAAAAAUUAGCGGAUGACUUGUGGCUGGGGGUGAAAGGCCAAUCAAACCGGGAGAUAGCUGGUUCUCCCCGAAAGCUAUUUAGGUAGCGCCUCGUGAAUUCAUCUCCGGGGGUAGAGCACUGUUUCGGCAAGGGGGUCAUCCCGACUUACCAACCCGAUGCAAACUGCGAAUACCGGAGAAUGUUAUCACGGGAGACACACGGCGGGUGCUAACGUCCGUCGUGAAGAGGGAAACAACCCAGACCGCCAGCUAAGGUCCCAAAGUCAUGGUUAAGUCUGUAAGCCUGUGAAGGUGUACUGUGAGGUAUGCUGGAGGUAUCAGAAGUGCGAAUGCUGACAUAAGUAACGAUAAAGCGGGUGAAAAGCCCGCUCGCCGGAAGACCAAGGGUUCCUGUCCAACGUUAAUCGGGGCAGGGUGAGUCGACCCCUAAGGCGAGGCCGAAAGGCGUAGUCGAUGGGAAACAGGUUAAUAUUCCUGUACUUGGUGUUACUGCGAAGGGGGGACGGAGAAGGCUAUGUUGGCCGGGCGACGGUUGUCCCGGUUUAAGCGUGUAGGCUGGUUUUCCAGGCAAAUCCGGAAAAUCAAGGCUGAGGCGUGAUGACGAGGCACUACGGUGCUGAAGCGACAAAUGCCCUGCUUCCAGGAAAAGCCUCUAAGCAUCAGGUAACAUCAAAUCGUACCCCAAACCGACACAGGUGGUCAGGUAGAGAAUACCAAGGCGCUUGAGAGAACUCGGGUGAAGGAACUAGGCAAAAUGGUGCCGUAACUUCGGGAGAAGGCACGCUGAUAUGUAGGUGAAGCGACUUGCUCGUGGAGCUGAAAUCAGUCGAAGAUACCAGCUGGCUGCAACUGUUUAUUAAAAACACAGCACUGUGCAAACACGAAAGUGGACGUAUACGGUGUGACGCCUGCCCGGUGCCGGAAGGUUAAUUGAUGGGGUUAGCGGUAACGCGAAGCUCUUGAUCGAAGCCCCGGUAAACGGCGGCCGUAACUAUAACGGUCCUAAGGUAGCGAAAUUCCUUGUCGGGUAAGUUCCGACCUGCACGAAUGGCGUAAUGAUGGCCAGGCUGUCU
rnacentral:rRNA from 1 species